GAUGAACGCUGGCGGCGUGCCUAAUACAUGCAAGUCGAGCGAACGGACGAGAAGCUUGCUUCUCUGAUGUUAGCGGCGGACGGGUGAGUAACACGUGGAUAACCUACCUAUAAGACUGGGAUAACUUCGGGAAACCGGAGCUAAUACCGGAUAAUAUUUUGAACCGCAUUGUUCAAAAGUGAAAGACGGUCUUGCUGUCACUUAUAGAUGGAUCCGCGCUGCAUUAGCUAGUUGGUAAGGUAACGGCUUACCAAGGCAACGAUGCAUAGCCGACCUGAGAGGGUGAUCGGCCACACUGGAACUGAGACCCGGUCCAGACUCCUACGGGAGGCAGCAGUAGGGAAUCUUCCGCAAUGGGCGAAAGCCUGACGGAGCAACGCCGCGUGAGUGAUGAAGGUCUUCGGAUCGUAAAACUCUGUUAUUAGGGAAGAACAUAUGUGUAAGUAACUGUGCACAUCUUGACGGUACCUACUCAGAAAGCCACGGCUAACUACGUG
rnacentral:rRNA from 1 species